AUUGAACGCUGGCGGCAGGCUUAACACAUGCAAGUCGAACGAGUGGCGGACGGGUGAGUAAUGUAUGGGAACUUGGCUAAUGGAGGGGGAUAACUACGGGAAACCGUAGCUACUACCGCUUACCAUAGGUUGGGCCCACGUGGGAUUAGGUAGGUGGUGAGGUAAAGGCUCACCAGGCCGACGAUCCCUAGCUGGUCUGAGAGGAUGACCAGCCACACUGGGACUGAGACACGGCCCAGACUCCUACGGGAGGCAGCAGUGGGGAAUAUUGGGCAAUGGAGGAAACCUGACGCAGCCAUGCCGCGUGAAUGAAGAAGGCUUUCGGGUUGUAAAGUUCUUUCGGUAGCGAGGCGGUAACUACAGAAGAAGCACCGGCUAACUACGUGCCAGCAGCCGCGGUAAUUC
rnacentral:rRNA from 1 species